rnacentral:rRNA from 1 species
UACGGAGGGUGCAAGCGUUAUCCGGAUUCACUGGGUUUAAAGGGUGCGUAGGAGGGCAGGUAAGUCAGUGGUGAAAUCUCCGAGCUUAACUUGGGAACUGCCGUUGAUACUAUCUGUCUUGAAUAUUGUGGAGGUGAGCGGAAUAUGUCAUGUAGCGGUGAAAUGCUUAGAUAUGACAUAGAACACCAAUUGCGAAGGCAGCUCGCUACACAUAUAUUGACUCUGAGGCACGAAAGCGUGGGGAUCAAACAGG